rnacentral:rRNA from 1 species
UACAGAGGGGGCAAGCGUUGUUCGGAAUUACUGGGCGUAAAGGGCGCGUAGGCGCCUUCUAAGUCGAACGUGAAAUCCCCGGGCUCAACCCGGGAACUGCGUCCGAUACUGGAAGGCUUGAAUCCGGGAGAGGGAUGCGGAAUUCCAGGUGUAGCGGUGAAAUGCGUAGAUAUCUGGAGGAACACCGGUGGCGAAGGCGGCAUCCUGGACCGGUAUGACGCUGGAGGCGCGAAAGCCAGGGGAGCAACGGG